rnacentral:rRNA from 1 species
CCUACGGGAGGCAGCAGUGGGGAAUAUUGCACAAUGGGGGAAACCCUGAUGCAGCGACGCCGCGUGAGCGAUGAAGUAUCUCGGUAUGUAAAGCUCUAUCAGCAGGGAAGAAAAUGACGGUACCUGACUAAGAAGCCCCGGCUAACUACGUGCCAGCAGCCGCGGUAAUACGUAGGGGGCAAGCGUUAUCCGGAUUUACUGGGUGUAAAGGGAGCGUAGACGGCUGGACAAGCCAGAUGUGAAAGCCCGGGGCUCAACCCCGGGACUGCAUUUGAAACUGUGUGGCUGGAGUGUCGGAGGGGUAAGCGGAAUUCCUAGUGUAGCGGUGAAAUGCGUAGAUAUUAGGAGGAACACCAGUGGCGAAGGCGGCCUGCUGGACGAUGACUGACGUUGAGGCUCGAAAGCGUGGGGAGCAAACAGGAUUAGAUACCCGGGUAGUC